AAUCAUUAUCCAACCCGCGACGUAAUCCCUUGAGGUAAUUUGUCAAAAUCUAACUCUAACCCUAACCCUAACCCUAACCCUAACAUCAAAAAGAUACAAUGAGCUGUCAAGGAGCCAAAAAGAGCUUGAGAAGAAACUCGAAGACAUCAAGAGGAGGGAGAUUGAGCUUUGUAAGAGAUUGGAUGAGAUCGAGAAGAGAGAGUUGGGACCUCCGGAGCAAGAAGUUGAAAUAUUGCGUUCACGCAGAUUACUCCGGCUAUAUUGGCCUUUUGUAGUUGUUGUGUCAUGUUAUGUAAUAGUAUGUAGGUGAUUUUGGAACUUGGUAUAUGUUGUAAAAUUUGUAGGCUUAUGUUAGACUAAUUAGAUGGUGCUUACCAGAGUUCACCAAUGAAUUUUGUGAAAUUUGUACUUUGCUUAAGUUUCUAAAGUGAUUUGGGAUUGAGUUUUGUAUAAAUGAAUGAUUAGUCUAACUUUUUGAUGUUCUUUAAUCUAACUAGUCUGUAAUAGGAUUGCUUCAAAAUUUGUAAUUAGAUGUUUGUUGUUUGUCAC